rnacentral:rRNA from 1 species
GACAGAGGGUGCAAACGUUGUUCGGAAUUACUGGGCGUAAAGCGCGCGUAGGCGGCCACUUAAGUCGGAUGUGAAAGCCCCUGGCUCAACUGGGGAAGUGCACCCGAAACUGAGCGGCUUGAAUGCAAAAGAGGGUCGCGGAAUUCCCGGUGUAGAGGUGAAAUUCGUAGAUAUCGGGAGGAACACCGGUGGCGAAGGCGGCGACCUGGGUUGACAUUGACGCUGAGGCGCGAAAGCGUGGGGAGCAAACAGG